rnacentral:lncRNA from 1 species
GUUCUCCACGUGGUGCUUAAAAAUCCCAGGGCCCGCGCCGGGCCCAUUAACACAGUCUCUGGGCGGUGGACCGACGCACCCAAUUCGGGGGGUCGGUGGGGGAUGGAGCAGCUGCCCAAGUGAUUCCCAGGUGCCGCCAUGGAGGACGUGCGCUGGGAAGGCGGGGGCCGGGUUCGAGCAGGAGGGCCCUUGGCUCCGACGCGGCCCCUGUGCUCCGGAAGCGAACGCUGCCUCGGACAAGCCACAGCAGAUCAACGCUGAGCCCUUCCCACCGGGGUCCAGGUGCUGGGAUCCAUCAGCGAGCAGACCAGACACACCCGCCCUCCUGGUGGACCCGACUUUCAGGUGGACACCCGGAGGCCAGUAGUCCCUGGGGCUCCACUCGCCAGGGGACAUCUGGAGCGGGCCUGUAGGAAAGCCACAGAGAUCCACAGGGUCCCCCAUCCCUGGGGGGACACCGGCGAGGCUCCCCAUCUGUGCUCUGCACCCCGCUCCCAAGCACUGGCCAGAGCCCGCGGAUUCCAUUCCGAAAGCUUCCUAAUGACGUCCUUGCCUGGAGCUGGGCUUGGGAAGGAAGAGAGAAGCUGCUGGACCCUCCGUGCCCCUCCCCUUGACGCUGGGGUUUGGAGCUGCCUUGACGUGCGCUCGGGUCUGGUACAUUUGCUCCCUGGAGACUUGGGAAGAGACGCCCCAGUUUGAUUCUGAAGUCGCACAUCUUUGGGUCGAUCUGGCCCAUUGGGAGAUGCUCAGUUAGGCAACAGUUCCUAAGACACCCUCACUGUGGACACUUGCCAGUUGGGGGGUCUGCAAAGCCACCUUUAGUUUUAGCGAUUCACUAGGGCUCCCAGGUCUGGCUGAAAGCUGAGCUCUGCCCACGGUCACGGUGAAGCAGUGACAGGAUACAGAGUGCAAUCAGCCAAGGGAAGCGGGGCCAGGGCAGAAUCCAGGGAAGUUCCACCCACGGACCUUCCAGGAAUGCCAGCACUACCCUCCUGGCACCGAAGUGGGACAACACGCACAGGGCAGGGCCAGCUGGGAAGCUCCUCUGAGCCGGGUUUUCGCUGGGCGCCAGCAUGUGGGCUCAGCUGACUCCCCCUGUGCUGAGCUCAGCCCUCAGCCCCUCUGGCAGGACCCGCGCCCCAGCCUUGACUCAGGUGUUCAACUGUUUGUCGAGACCCUAAGCCCCCAAGAACACGAACACUUCUAUCAGACGUGACAUUCCAAGGGCUUUGAGAUCAUCUCCCAAAGCUGAAGGCAGGGGCCAGCUGCUUUGGGGACAAGAGGAAAUUCUUCAUGACCCAGGGAGGGAUCCAUCCAGAUUUCCUAGAAAUUAACCUGGAAGACUCCUGCUUCCUACCCCACAUUGCAGGUGCACCUGUGACUACAUGUGGUGUACAAUCUGAAUACUCCUGCCCCCGAUCGUAGGGCUUUGGAAUUGGGGAAGGACUUUAGGAGCCAACAUCACUGGCCAUCAGGGAAAAUGCAAAUGCAGACCAGGGCGAGGUACCACUUCACCCCAGGUGGGAUGCUUACCAUCCGACAGUCGGGGGGAAAAGCAAGAGCUGGCAAAGAUGUGGAGAAGUCGGAACCUCACACACUGCUGGUGGGACUGUGUGAGGGUGUGGACGCCGUGGAAAGCGACCUGGGGACUCAUCACACAGUUAAACGCAGCAUUCCCCGGGACCCAGCAUUUCCACUCCUAGGUGUGUUACACAGGGCGAUUAAAAUAUACAUCCACACAAAAAAUGCCGGGAAUGUACACAGCAGCAUAAUUUUAUUGUAAUAGCCGAAAGGUAGGAGCAACUCAGCUGUCCAUCAACUGAUGAAUAGAUACACAUGAAAUGCAGAAUAUCGGAGCUCGCAUCAUGGCCCGGCGGCUAGUGAACCCGACUAGCAUCCGUGAGGACAUGGGUUCGAUCUCUGGCCUCGCUCGGUGGGUUAAGGAUCCGGUGUUGCCGUGAGCUGUGGUGUAGGUCACAGACACAGCUUAGAGCCCACAUCGCUGUGGCUCUGGCGUAGGCUGGCGUCUGCAGCUCCAAUUCGACCCCUAGCCUGGGAACCUCCAUAUGCCGCGGGUGCAGCCCCCCCAAAAAGACAAAAGACAAAAAAAAAAAAGAAAGAAUUCAGUGUUGUCACUGCAGUGGCUCAGGUCGCUACUAUGACGUGGUUUGAUCCCUGGCCCAGAACUUCCACAUGCCACAGAUGUGGCCAAAGGGAAAAAAAAAGGUAGAGAGACGGAGUCUGAAGAAAUACGUGCAGUAUGUAUGAAAGACCAGCUUGGAGAGCAAGUUCUGACACUAGAACUAUAAAUAGCUAUCAAAUUAUACAAUAUCUGACUUAAGGAACAAUAGAAAAUAAUGCAAAAUGAGGCAUUAAAAAUCCCAUUUUUGAGCCUCCCCCCCAACUAGCAUGCAGUGCUGGUAUAAGAACUAUGAACUAGACAUUUCCAUGCAACUUAAUGGUAGGGGAGGAAAUUUCACAGUAUUUUUGCAGCACCCUUUGGAAAUAAGCAUCCGAAGCUUAUAUAAUAUUCAUACCUUCAACCACAAAUCUUGCUUCGCAAUUCAUUCUCAAAGAGCAGCGAAAUAAACGCACGAAUAUUUAGAUGCAAAUAUUAGUUUAUAACCACCAGAAACCUCCUAAAUAUGUACAAAUAUGUAAACGGUUAAAUAAAUCAUGGUAUAUUUAACAUGUUCUGUGUGCCCAUUCAAAAGUGACUGAAUGGCACGGGGAAAUGCAAGAAGCAAAAUAUUGGGCAGGAAAUGCAAGAUAUAAAACUGAAAUCACAGUCUGUCUUCAUUCUGAAAUAAGUCAGUUCAGAGGCAUACAUGGCCAGAAAAAUACCAAGCAGACCAGUGCUCGAUACAUAGAGUAGGUUGGCAGUAAUACUGAGGAACGUUCGAAACGUGAAUGAAGCACAUCCACUGAGAUACAAGCACUGGCUCUGGGAAGGUGUGAUCUGGGGUCGCAUUGGUUUUGUCCCUGAUUCUUGUAUGUUUCUCAAAGUUUCUGCAAUCCACAUGAAUCAACCUUGUCAUCAGAAAAUAGCGUAAUUAAAAUUUCAAAGUC